rnacentral:rRNA from 1 species
UACGUAGGGUGCAAGCGUUGUCCGGAAUUAUUGGGCGUAAAGAGCUCGUAGGCGGUUUGUUGCGUCGGCUGUGAAAUCCCGAGGCUCAACCUCGGGUCUGCAGUCGAUACGAGCAAACUAGAGUGUUGCAGGGGAGACUGGAAUUCCUGGUGUAGCGGUGAAAUGCGCAGAUAUCAGGAGGAACGCCGGUGGCGAAGGCGGGUCUCUGGGCAACAACUGACGCUGGAGGAGCGAAAGCGUGGGGAGCGAACAGG